CUUACCCCUCUCUUUGUAAUAUAUGCUUGCAUCUAUCUCUACCCCCUCUUCUCUCUCUCUCUCUCUCUCUCUCUCUCUCUCUAUGAAACAAACCCAAUUCAUAAAGCAGAGCAGGAAGUUCUCUGAUCAGAAUUAACAUGUGGAGAUGAAUUCGAUAGUAUAUUCUAAGAGCAGAUCAUGGCCAAUGAAGUUCCUAACGUCAACAAGAAACUCGCUGCUCUUCUUCUUCUUCCUUGUUUUGGCCGGAGCCCUAAUCUCUACUCGUUGGAUCAACAACACCCUCAUGAUCAGCACCUCCUCCACUUCAAUUCCAAUCGCCACAACAACUGAACACCAAAAUGCGAUCAUUCCCUCUCCUCUUUCUGAGACACCUCAACAGCUCAAAAAA